rnacentral:rRNA from 1 species
GCUUUCUCGUGUGGUCUUGCAUUGGUUUGAGAACAACGUAAAACUCUUAUCGAUAAGCCAUUGGAGGGCAAGUCUGGUGCCAGCAGCCGCGGUAAUUCCAGCUCCAAUAGCGUAUAUUAACGUUGUUGCAGUUAAAAAGCUCGUAGUUGAAGUGAGGGAGUGUGUGUUGUGAUCGAAUCGAUCGAGAGCAGUACAACCUCCCCCUUCCAAUGGGUGUAUUGGGGUAUUCAUUUACUUCAUUACUCCUUUGGUCGUUUACUGUGAGAAAAUUAGAGUGUUCAAAGCGGGCGUUUGUUUGAAUAGAUUAGCAUGGAAUAAUGAUUGAAGGCUUUCGUGUUCGAUUUGAUUGGUUUGUUCAUGGAAGCAAGGUUAAAAGGAACAGUUGGGGGUAUUCAUAUUCACUAGUUAGAGGUGAAAUUCUCGGAUUUAUGGAAGAUGAACAAGUGCGAAAGCAA